UACAGAGGUCCCAAGCGUUGUUCGGAUUCAUUGGGCGUAAAGGGUGCGUAGGCGGCGCGGUAAGUCGGGUGUGAAAUCUCGGAGCUUAACUCCGAAACUGCAUUCGAUACUGCCGUGCUUGAGGACUGGAGAGGAGACUGGAAUUUACGGUGUAGCGGUGAAAUGCGUAGAUAUCGUAAGGAAGACCAGUGGCGAAGGCGGGUCUCUGGACAGUUCCUGACGCUGAGGCACGAAGGUCAGGGGAUCAAACGGG
rnacentral:rRNA from 1 species